rnacentral:misc_RNA from 1 species
GAUGAAGAACGUAGCGAAAUGCGAUAAGUAGUGUGAAUUGCAGAAUUCAGUGAAUCAUCGAAUCUUUGAACGCACAUUGCGCCCUUUGGUAUUCCUUAGGGCAUGCCUGUUCGAGCGUCAUUUAAACCUUCAAGCUAAGCUUGGUGUUGGGUGACUGUCCGCUUCACUGCGGACUCGCCUCAAAAUUAUUGGCGGCCGGUACAUUGGCUUCGAGCGCAGCAGAAACGCGAACUCGGGCCCGUCGUAUUGGCUCCCAGAAGCUAUCUUCACAAUUUUGACCUCGGAUCAGGUAGGGAUACCUGCUGAACUUAAGCAUAUCAAUAAGCGGAGGA